AAUAUGUUUUUAUUAAGAAGAAAGGGAUUAGUUUUUAUUAGAUAUAAAAAAAUAUAUAUUUUAUGCACACGCUAAAAAUUGGCCAUCAAAACAAAAAAAAAUCAAUUUCCUUUUAAUGAAUUUAUUGAAUCAAAACCAUGCAAUAUCAUUUCCUUUCUAACAGUGAAAUUCUUCUUUUUCAUAGGGACAUAUUUGAUAGGUGUAGCUUCACCCUAUCACAUCAAAUGAGAAUAGCCUCGUGAGCGAAUUACGAUUCGCUUGUCCCUUGUUAGUUAUUGUCGCUUCGUCACUAAAUUAAACUUCUUGUCGCUGUUUGUCUCUAAAAUUCUUCUUGUCUCUUAUUAGUGAGACCAGUCAGUUCCGUCCUUAACUUCCGUUUUUGCACUGCAAAACAAUCACACAAUUAACGAUGCCUAGUCCUUGUUGGUGUGUACCUGAGUGUCAUUUAAGAGGAGGACUUGCAUUUCUAAAUGACUUAAUAAGAAGGAAAAGUUAGAUCAACGCCAUGGCUCAAACGUAGAUUGUCAUGUGCGAUGCAAUCGUAGAACCCAUAUCAAUCAGCUGUUGUUUGCAAGGCACAUUUUACUGAAAACGACUACGUUCAGGAAACUAUUCAUGGGCACAUACCCACUUUAUAGAGACUUGUCUACUGUCAUGCAUUCCCAUCCUAUUUUCAUGCACCAUUUGUAAGCAAGAGACUGAAUGGUUUACAAAAUUAAAAAUCAGGACGGUGUCCCGUUAAACCAAAAGAACUAAACUGGAUGAAUAUUUUAGGAGAAAUCUAGAGGAAAGUUUUGAUUUGUGAAAUUGGUUUUCCUGAACAGAUGUACAUUCAUCCUGCAGGAAAGAUUUAUAACUGUCCACCACCAACUGACGAGCUAAUGUUGAGCUUCACAGAUGGAAUUACUCAAACAUCAUAAAUGCCUAUGUUUUCAGCACAGAUUUCACAAAUCAUGACACAGCUGUGCAUUUUUAUGCCCCACCUACGAUAGUAGGGGGGCAUUAUGUUUUCUGGUCUGUGCGUCCGUUCGUCUGUUCGUCCGUUCGUCCAUCCGUCUGUCCCUCUUCAGGUUAAAGUUUUUGGUCAAGGUAGUUUUUGAUGAAGUUGAAGUCCAAUCGACUUCAAACUUGGUACACAUGUUCCCUAUGAUAUGAUCUUUUUAAUUUUAAUGCCAAAUUAGAGUUUUUACCCCAAUGUCACGGUCCACUGAACAUGGAAAAUGAUAGUGCGAGUGGGGCAUUCGUGUACUGGGGACACAUUCUUGUUUAUACCUGAUAAGAGUCGAAAACUAAAUAUUAUUUUUAUAUAAAUAAACAUAUAUUGUGUCAUUUUAGAACUUAUAUUUUUCCAAAGGAUGCAUGAAUGAAAGUAGUGAAAUUCAUUUUGCUUUGAUAUAUAGAUUUGAAUUACAAUUGUUCAUGUUAAUAUUGUAAUGCAUAUAAAAAUAAGGAGAUGUGGCACAAUGUAAAUAUAUGAUAUUCUGUGAGUUUAUCAAACUAAAGGGGAUUAGAAAUGGGUAUAAGCAGUUACAGGACUGUACUACUGUACAAUCUCCAACAAUGAGAAAAACUCAUACUGUAAAGAGAAUUUCAUAUUUACAAGUAAGUUUUGUUUUUGCAUUGAAUAAUUUUCUUCUAUUGUCUUAAAAGCAAAUAUGGGAAGUGGUUAAAAUGCUAAUGAGACAGCUUUUAUGGCCACCAGAUGUCAUUGUUACCUUGAUUAAAAACUCCUUUAUAGCUCACCUGACCUGACUCAUCACUUGGUUUCGUCGUCCAUAAACUUUUACAAAAAAUCUUCUCUGAAACUACUGUGCCAAAUUUAACCAAACUUAGCCAAAAUCAUCAUUGCGGUAUCUAAUUUAAAAAAUGUGUGGUUAGACCCGGUCAACCAACCGUGA